rnacentral:tRNA from 1 species
CGCGGGAUGGAUCAGCUUGGUAGCUCGUCGGGCUCAUAACCCGAAGGUCGUAGGUUCAAAUCCUGCUCCCUCAACCA